GGUUCCACCAUCGGUUCACUACCAGAGUAACGUAAAACCCUGUUGGGAUAACCAGACGUCAUCGUGCAGUUUCUUGCAGCAGAUAUCUCAACGGACACACUUUUAGCAGGAUUUUAGCUUUCUUAGGGGUUCGAGAUAUGAAAGUAUGUUAUCCUCCAUACCUUACGAUCUUGCCCUCCAGGAGGGGAGAAAAUAUAUGCCUUGACAAGGGCAGGGCACCCAGUAAGUGGGUAUUAGAACUCAAAUACUGACUGCAAAUAUGGAGGGUUAGUGAAGAGAAAGCUUAAUUGUCCAACAGCGGAUUAUGACCUCAAACUAUUCCGUGUUAACUUAGCAGAAGCAUCCCUGAAGGCGAACUUUAGGGUCCGCUGUGUGCUAUUGCAAGCAGCGGCUUUCCCGGCAUGCCUCACAGCCCGGAAGCACUCUCAUGCAGUCAUCUGUGUCAUCUAACGGAGACAGCUGUGUGGCUGCAUUUUGCGUGUGACCUAUACUUACCAAGCACAAAGGUUACUGGAAUUUGUUCAGCAUAUCUGUCACAGUAAAUUGAUAAUUUUUCAAAGUAACGUUUUUGGGCUCCUGUAAGUAACAAUCUGGAGCAAAAAUAAAACGCAUAGCCCUUUAUGAUACGGUACUUCUGCCCCUGCUCAGCAGAAGACAUCAAGUGCAAACAAUCACACUGGUGAAAUGUUGCUAAGACUGUAAUUUUCAAUUGUGAGAGGUGUAUAUGCCAGCUUUCAAAGUAUGAACCUGAUGGGUCCCCAUGUUACAAAGGGUUCCCUCCUUUUGUAAACAUGAUAUCCUGAAAUCAGAAGACAUAAAGAGAACGAAUUAUUCUUCUGGCCAUAAUUCUUUGGUGGAGGCACUGGUUGGAGGACACCAUCCCUGGUCAGAGCUUACCAUCCAGACUAAAGGAAGAAAAGCUGUCUGGUAAAUUCUAUUCACCCAUAUGUUAACUCCAUAUGGAGUUGCAGCAAGCUGUGAGAUCACAAGUUCAAACUCCAAUGACACCACUGAGAGAAGCACAAAAGCAUUUGUCUGUGGGCUCUGCCAUUCGCUGGCACACAGAUAAGGAUGUAAGUAUAAUAUGCCUAAAGCAACGAGGCCGACACCGCAUCUGGAUCAGUCUCUGUGGGACUGGAAUUGGAGCCCGUUGUCUGAACAGUGGCUGUUGAUUGCUCCAAAUACGUGGCUAGGUGUGGAUUAAAAUACCCUAUCCUGAAGAGAGGACGCCGGAGAGGUUCAUGCAGAGGGAGAGGUUACGUAAUGCGGAGGCUAGCAGCAACCAAGGGGAUCCAGUUUUUGAGACUGUAUUCUUACAUAACGCCUGAGGGCCAUUUGAGGAGACAUGCAAAACAGAAGUACCUGUACACCAGACUGAUUGCUGUGUAAAGAACAGCAAAAACAAUAAAUUCCCUGUACAGCAGUUUGUAGAUGCUGCCUCUCCACUUGAGGAGCAACCUAUGAAAUCCAAAAAAAGUCGCAUUUGCUACUUUACUGGAGUAAGUGACAGUCAUCUUGGAUAGUUUUGUUCUAGAAGAGCAAGAAGACAAAACCUGGGUGAAAAAUAAAGUUGGAUGUCAACAUAGGCAUACACUUUUUUUCCUCUUAACCGAAAGAAACUAAAGCCAAAACCUAAUCAACUGAUCCACCCCCAUGCGUUACCCGCCUCUCUUUACAGCUUAGACCUUGUAGAUAACACUGUAUCACUAUUUAGAAUCUCAGAAGGGGAAGAAGAUGGUCUCCCCGAAGACUGUUUUUAGAAGCCCCGAAAUGUCUGUAUUUGAUAAGCAUUGCUUCAGUCUGUAGCUCUCUUGCUCAUUAAAUGAUCAACAUUAACACACGA